AUUGAACGCUGGCGGCAUGCCUUACACAUGCAAGUCGAACGGUAACGCGGGGGCGAACCCUCGGCGACGAGUGGCGAACGGGUGAGUAAUACAUCGGAACGUACCCAGUAGUGGGGGAGUANCUCGGCGAAAGACCGGAUUAAUACCGCAUACGACCUAUGGGUGGAAAGCGGGGGAGUCGCAAGACCUCGCGCUAUCGGAGCGGCCGAUGUCGGAUUAGCUAGUUGGUGAGGUAAAGGACNCACC
rnacentral:rRNA from 1 species